rnacentral:pre_miRNA from 1 species
UGUGUAUGUACGUGUGUGUGCGUGUGUAUGUACGUGUGUGUGCGUGUGUAUGUACGUGUGUGUGCGUGUGUAUGUACGUGUGUGUGCUACGUGUGUGUGCGUGUGUAUGU